AGAGUUUGAUCCUGGCUCAGGACGAACGCUGGCGGCGUGCCUAACACAUGCAAGUCGAACGGAAAACAUAGCAAUAUGUUUUUAGUGGCGAACGGGUGAGUAACGCGUAGACAACCAACCUUUUUGUGGGGGACAACACUUCGAAAGGAGUGCUAAUACCGCAUACGCUCCAGAUGCCGCCUGGUGUUUGGAGGAAAGGAGCUUUACGGCUUCGCAAAAAGACGGGUCUGCGUCUGAUUAGCUAGUUGGAGGGGUAACGGCCCACCAAGGCGACGAUCAGUAGCCGGUCUGAGAGGAUGGACGGCCACACUGGGACUGAGACACGGCCCAGACUCCUACGGGAGGCAGCAGUGGGGAAUCUUCCGCAAUGGACGAAAGUCUGACGGAGCGACGCCGCGUGAGUGAUGAAGGCCCUUGGGUCGUAAAGCUCUUUCAGCCGGGAAGAAAGCGCACUCUCUAACAUAGGGUGUGGAUGACGGUACCGGAAGAAGAAGCACCGGCUAACUACGUGCCAGCAGCCGCGGUAAUA
rnacentral:rRNA from 1 species